CAGUAGCCGCGGUAAUACGAAGGUCCCGAGCGUUGUUCGGAAUCACUGGGCGUAAAGGGAGCGUAGGCGGCGUGGUAAGUCAGAUGUGAAAUCCCGGGGCUCAACCCCGGAACUGCAUCCGAUACUGCCAUGCUAGAGGAUUGGAGAGGUAGCUGGAAUUCUUGGUGUAGCAGUGAAAUGCGUAGAGAUCAAGCGGAACACUCGUGGCGAAAGCGAGCUACUGGACAAUAACUGACGCUGAGGCUCGAAGGCCAGGGUAGCGAAAGGGAUUAGAGACCCCCGUAGUCCCUGUCUCUUAUAC
rnacentral:rRNA from 1 species